UCGCAUCUGUGCAUGCAGCAUAUCAAUAAGCGGAGGAAAAGAAACUAACAAGGAUUCCCUCAGUAACGGCGAGUGAAGCGGGAAGAGCUCAAAUUUGAAAUCUUAAAGGGUUUCCCUUUACGAAUUGUAGUUUAAAGAAGUGUUUUCUGUUGAAGGUUUUGGUAAAAGUUCUAUUGGAAUAGGACAUCAUAGAGGGUGAGAAUCCCGUAUUUGACCAUUUACUUUCAGCUUUGUGAUACACUUUCAAAGAGUCGGAUUGUUUGGGAAUGCAGUCCAAAAUGGGUGGUAAAUUUCAUUCUAAAGGCUAAAUAUUGGCGAGAGACCGAUAGCGAACAAGUACCGUGAGGGAAGGAUGAAAAGAACUUUGAAAAGAGAGUUAAACAGUACGUGAAAUUGUCAAAAGGGAAGCGUUUGACACCAGUGUUGUUUUCUCGAAAAUCAAUUAAAAAUGGCUCAAUUUUGUAUUGCUGAGACCUUAAAAGCUCACUGUACAUUUUUCGUGUCUUUUUUAAUGCACUUUUCGUUUAACAAGUCAACAUCAGUUUCUUUUGUUGUAAAAGGGUCAUUGGAAGGUGGCUUUCUUUUCGGAGAAAGUGUUUAUAGCCUUUGGCCCUCUGCAAUCGAAGAGACUGAGGUCUGCAGCGUAGACUCUUCGGGGUUAGAUACAUUUGUGCUAAGUUAUAGCUUUUUAUAGGACAGCUUGUUGACUAUAAUUAGUCUUAUAGCUUACUCGCUUAUGCUAUUUUACCUACGCUUAGGAUGUUGACGAUCAGCUGAGCGCG
rnacentral:rRNA from 1 species